CUUCAGUAUUAAAGAUUUAUUUCCUUUCCUGCUUAAUCCUUUUACACCCUUAGGGCUUCUUAAUUUCCUCCAUGGCUGGAUCAGGCUUGCCCCCAUUGUCCAAAAUUCCCCAGUGCUGCCUCCCGUAGG
rnacentral:rRNA from 1 species